rnacentral:rRNA from 1 species
UACGUAGGGUGCAAGCGUUGUCCGGAAUUAUUGGGCGUAAAGAGCUCGUAGGCGGUCUGUCGCGUCUGCUGUGAAAACUCGGGGCUUAACCCUGGACCUGCAGUGGGUACGGGCAGACUAGAGUGCGGUAGGGGAGAUCGGAAUUCCUGGUGUAGCGGUGAAAUGCGCAGAUAUCAGGAGGAACACCGGUGGCGAAGGCGGGUCUCUGGGCAGUAACUGACGCUGAGGAGCGAAAGCGUGGGGAGCGAACAGG